rnacentral:misc_RNA from 1 species
GAUGAAGAACGUAGCGAAAUGCGAUAAGUAAUGUGAAUUGCAGAAUUCAGUGAAUCAUCGAAUCUUUGAACGCACCUUGCGCCCUUUGGCCAUUCCGAAGGGCAUGCCUGUUUGAGUAUCAUGAACACCUCAACUCUUUAUGGUUUUCCAUGAUGAGCUUGGACUCUGGGGGUUUUGCUGGCUCACAGUCGGCUCCUCUAAAAUGAAUCAGCUUACCAGUGUUUGGUGGGUAUCAUGGGUGUGAUAACUAUCUACGCUUGUGGUUUUUCCACCAGGUAACCUUCAGCAGUGGAGGUUCGCUGGAGCUCAUAGAUGUCUCUCCUCAGUGAGGACAGCCCUUUGAAUGUUUGAUCUCAAAUCAGGUAGGGCUACCCGCUGAACUUAAGCAUAUCAAUAAGCGGAGGA